rnacentral:rRNA from 1 species
AUGAAAGGCGGUGUUCUGCAUAGGCUCCUUGUCAACAAGCUAUGCUUGGGCCUUUUAUUAGUUCUCCUCGUUGUGCCGAUUGUCAUUUUGUUGCUGGGCACAACUCCAGAACAGCUGAAACUUCUCUCCCAAGGUUUCCUACAGCAGCAUGGACUGGAACAUAUUGGAGAUAAUGUAUCAGCUCUAGUUGUGCCUGCAGGUCCAGCUUAUAACGACGACACUCACACGAGUAUAACCAGACGGAACAAAUGGAACAAAGACUGUAACUAUGCAAAGGGAAAGUGGGUGGCAGAUGAGAAACGGCCACUCUAUUCAGGUAAUGAGUGCAAGCAAUGGCUGUCCAAAAUGUGGGCUUGUCGAAUGAUGCAACGCACAGAUUUCUUCUAUGAGAGUUACCGGUGGCAGCCGCACGGUUGUGAGAUGCCUGAGUUUUCAGGUCCUAACUUGUUGAGCAGGCUGAGGCAUAAAACUCUUGCUUUUGUGGGUGAUUCCCUCGGGAGACAGCAAUUUCAGUCCAUCAUGUGUAUAGCAACAGGUGGUAAAUACAGCCCAGAUGUUGAAGAUGUUGGUUGGAAAUAUGGCCUUGUCAAAGCUCCAGGUGCUUUGAGACCUGAUGGGUGGGCUUAUCGAUUUCCAGAGACUAACACCACUAUCCUUUACUACUGGUCUGCUAGCCUAUCUGAACUGGAACCUUUGAACACAACAAAUUCAGUGACUAGCUAUGCGUUGCAUCUUGAUCGGCCAGUAACAUUCUUGAAGAAGUAUUUCCAUGGUUUUGAUGUUCUAGUACUGAACACUGGUCAUCACUGGAACAGAGGGAAAUUCAAUGGAAAUCAUUGGGAAUUGUAUGCCAAUGGGGAGCCUGUAGGGAAAGGUCGACUUGCAGAUCUCAACCGUGCAAAGAAUCUUACACUGUAUAGCAUUGCCAGGUGGGUGGAUUCAGAACUCGCAAGCCGUCCUCAGAUGAAAGCUUUUCUGAGGACAAUGUCACCGAGGCAUUUUGUAAAUGGCGAUUGGAACACUGGUGGAAGUUGUGGUAAUAGCGUUCCCUUUUCUAAUGGAAGCGAGGUCUUGCAGGAUCAUUCAAGUGACUUGCCUGCAGAGCGUGCUGUAAAUGGAACUCAGGUUAAGCUUUUGGAUAUUACUUCUACGUCACAACUACGAGAUGAGGGGCACAUCUCAAAUCGUACUUUCAGAGCUCCAACAGGCAUUCAUGAUUGCUUGCACUGGUGCCUUCCUGGUAUACCAGAUAUGUGGAAUGAGCUCCUCUUUGCACAGAUUUAG